UGGGGAAUUUUGGACAAUGGGGGAAACCCUGAUCCAGCCAUCCCGCGUGUGCGAUGAAGGCCUUCGGGUUGUAAGCACUUUUGGCAGGAAAGAAACGUCAUGGGUUAAUACCCCGUGAAACUGACGGUACCUGCAGAAUAAGCACCGGCUAAAUACGUGCCAGCAGCCGCGGUAAUACGUAGGGUGCAAGCGUUAAUCGGAAUUACUGGGCGUAAAGCGUGCGCAGGCGGUUCGGAAAGAAAGAUGUGAAAUCCCAGAGCUCAACUUUGGAACUGCAUUUUUAACUACCGGGCUAGAGUGUGUCAGAGGGAGGUGGAAUUCCGCGUGUAGCAGUGAAAUGCGUAGAUAUGCGGAGGAACACCGAUGGCGAAGGCAGCCUCCUGGGAUAACACUGACGCUCAUGCACGAAAGCGUGGGGAGCAAACAGG
rnacentral:rRNA from 1 species